rfam:Callithrix jacchus chromosome 14, whole genome shotgun sequence
GGAUGUGAAGGCAAUCUGACUGCAACAUCUGUCACCCCAUUGAUGACCAGGGUUGAUUUGGCUGAUAUGGCUGGCUAGGCAGGUGUCUCCUUCCUCCCUCACCACUCCAUGUGUAUCCCUCCUGAAGCUGCACACUCAGGGGAAGAGGACGACCAUCUGGAUAGAGGAGGACAGGUUUUUGGUCAAGGAUAUACAAACAGCUGCACUCCCCUGCUAGAACCUCCAAACAAGCUCCCAAAUAACUUAAGAAUCUUAUGUUCUCGGUAGACAUGAAAUUUUGUGGUGUGGGGGGACACUGUUCAAAUCAGUACAGUCCUCAUCCAGCCCCAGAGAGUGGCCGUU